rnacentral:rRNA from 1 species
UUAAAAUUUUAAGAUUAUUUAUUAAAUAUUUUUAUUUAUUUAUUUUUAAAAAAAUAAAAUUUAAUUUAAUAUUAGUUUUUGUAUAUUUUAUAGAUAAAAUUUAAUUUAUUAUAGUUAAUUAGUAUUGUGGAAGAAUUUUAAAAUAUUUUUGAAAAAGAAAUUUUAAAAAAGUAAUAUUUAAUUUAUGUACCUUGUGUAUCAGGGUUUAUUUAAAUAAUAAUAUUUAAUUAUAUUUUUUUCGAAUUUAAAAGAUCUAAAUAUUUAUAAUUUUUAAUGUGAUAUUAUUAUUUUAAAUAAAAAUUUAGUAAUGAAAUGUUAUUCGUUUUUAAAGUUAUCUAAUUUUUUAAUAAAUAAAUUUAAUUUAUAUAUUAAUUUUAAAAUAUUAUUUUUAAUAAUUUUAUUUUUGUUUAAUAUAAAUAUUUUAAGGGAUAAGCUUUAAAAUAAAUUAUUAUAAUUUUUAAUGAGAAUAUUUACUUAAUAUAAAAUAGUCUUAAAAAUAGAUUUUAUUAAUAAAAGUGUUUUAAUUUAUUAUUAUUUUUAUAAUUAAUAAAAUUUUAUUUAUUUUUAAUUUUUUAUUAAAAUUUAAAAUUUAAUAAUUUAAUUUUAUUAAAAAUGAUAAAAUUAGUAAAUAUAUUUAUAAUUUAUUAAAAAUUAAAAUAUUUAUUAGGUUAAAUAAAGGAAUUCGGCAAAAAUUUAUAUUUGCUUGUUUAACAAAAACAUCGUUUUUUGAUUAUAAUUUAAAAUUUGAUCUGCUCAAUGAAUUUUUAAUUUAAAUAGCCGCGGUAUUUUGACUGUGCAAAGGUAGCAUAAUAAUUUGUCUUUUAAUUAAAGGCUAGAAUGAAUGAUUGGACAAGAUAUAUACUGUCUUUAUUUAAAUUAGAUAUUGAAUUUAAUUUUUAAGUUAAAAAGCUUAAAUAUUUUUAAAGGACGAGAAGACCCUAUAGAGUUUUAUAAUUUAUUUAAAUUAAUAUUUAAAAUAAUAUAUUUAAUUAAUUAAAUUAUUUUAUUGGGGUGAUAGAGAAAUUUAAUUAACUUUUUUGAAAAUUUUUACAUUAAUUUAUGGAUUUUUGAUCCUAAUAUUUUGGAUUAUUAGAUUAAAUUACCUUAGGGAUAACAGCGUAAUUUUUUUUAGAGUUCUUAUCGAUUUAAAAUAUUGCGACCUCGAUGUUGGAUUAAAAUUUAAUUUAGGUGUAGAAAUUUAAAUUUUUAGGUCUGUUCGACCUUUAAUAUUUUACAUGAUCUGAGUUCAAACCGGUGUAAGCCAGGUUGGAUUCUAUCCUUAAUUUUUUUAUAAAUUUUUAGUACGAAAGGAAUAAAGUUUAAAUUUAUAAUUUAUUAAAAUUUGAUUAAAAUUAAUUUUUUU